CUCGUCUGAGGGGACGCGAGGACUGUCCUCGCUACCGUCGCGAGCAGUGUCUGGCCAGGCCUUGACAAGCCAGCCGGAGGAGCAACUAGGAACCCGAACCAGAGCCCGGCGAGCGCAGCCUGCAGCUCCCGCCUCGCCGUCCCGGGGGGGUGUCCCGCCUCACACCCCGCCUCUGGACUUGCCCCUUUCUCUGCGCGUGAGGACAGAGCCGGCGCUUAGGCCGGAGCGAGCCCAGGGGCUGCCGGCCGGGAAGACACCGCGGGCACCGAUUCGCCAUG
rnacentral:other from 14 species